rnacentral:rRNA from 1 species
CGGCGGACGGGUGAGUAACACGUGGAUAACCUACCUAUAAGACUGGGAUAACUUCGGGAAACCGGAGCUAAUACCGGAUAAUAUAUUGAACCGCAUGGUUCAAUAGUGAAAGACGGUUUUGCUGUCACUUAUAGAUGGAUCCGUGCCGCAUUAGCUAGUUGGUAAGGUAACGGCUUACCAAGGCAACGAUGCGUAGCCGACCUGAGAGGGUGAUCGGCCACACUGGAACUGAGACGCGGUCCAG